rnacentral:rRNA from 1 species
AACGAACGCUGGCGGCAGGCUUAACACAUGCAAGUCGAACGGAUCCUUCGGGAUUAGUGGCAGACGGGGGAUUAACGCGUGGGAACGUACCGUUUGCCACGGAAUAACUCAGGGAAACUUGAGCUAAUACCGUAUGUGCCCUACGGGGGAAAGAUUUAUCGGCAAAGGAUCGGCCCGCGUUUGAUUAGCUAGUUGGUGGGGUAAUGGCCUACCAAGGCGACGAUCCAUAGCUGGUCUGAGAGGAUGAUCAGCCACACUGGGACUGAGACACGGCCCAGACUCCUACGGGAGGCAGCAGUGGGGAAUAUUGGACAAUGGGCGCAAGCCUGAUCCAGCCAUGCCGCGUGAGUGAUGAAGGUCUUAGGAUUGUAAAGCUCUUUCACCCGUGAAGAUAAUGACGGUAGCCGAAGAAGAAGCCCCGGCUAACUUCGUG